rnacentral:rRNA from 1 species
UGGGGAAUUUUGCGCAAUGACCUAAUGGUUGACUCACCAACGCCUCGUGAAUGAUGAAGGCUUUCGGGUCUCAAAGUACUUUCAGUGGGGAAGAACUGCAUAAUCAGUAGCUGGGUUAUGAUUGACGGUACCCACAGAAGCAGCCCCGGCUAACUCCGUGCCAGCAGCCGCGGUAAUACGGAAGGGGCAAGCGUUGUUCGGAGUCACUGGGCGUAAAGAGCUCGUAAGCGGCACGUAAGUCGGGAGUUAAAGGCCACAGCUCAACUGGUGUUUGGCUUCUGAAACUACAUUGCUAGAGUGCCAAAGAGGUAUGCCGAAUUCCCUGUGUAACUGUGAAAUGCUUAGAUAUAACGAGGAACACCGGUUGCGAAUGCUGCAUACUGGCUGAUAAUUGACCCUGAGGAGCGAAAGCGUGGGUAGCAAAAG